rnacentral:tRNA from 1 species
GUAAAGCAACUGAUUUGUAAUCAGUAGAUUAUGAGUUCAAAUCUCAUUGUUAGCU